AAGACACGUUAGUUUUGCUCAAUAAGGAACGGGUACGAGUACGACAUUUGUGAUGGGCAACCGAAGAGACGCGCUGAAGCAUAGCAAGGCCGUUAGUAGUAGCACAGAAAGUAACAGCGUCAAAGGCAAAGAAGAGGAAAAGGCGGCCGAAACCGACAAGCCCGAAGGGGGCUUAACUGCAUGGCUGGCGAGCAGUGAAGGUGUAGGCUGGAUGCAAUUUUUCGUCGUAACGAACGCAAUCAUCCUACUGUUGACCACCGGUUUGCCAAGGAUUUGGGAAUCGAUCGACUUCUUCAAAUCCUACUCGUCUUCCGACUGAAACAAAAAACCCAUUUGCAACGCAGUUCACAUCACGAAUCCAAGCCGGGUCCGGCCGAUGAAGAAAAAAGGAGGAUGGCAGAAUCGUCUUUGUGGAUCAAAGUGACGGUGGUAGUGGUCAUUUUGGCUUACUUUUCCAUUAAAAUCAUGCGCUACUUGGACGAUUGGUACCGGCAGCAAUUUACCCGUUAUUUGCAAACUGAGCAGAAAAGGAAUCCUCAUCUUCUCGACUCGUGAUCAUCCAACCCAUUUUCUUUCUUUCUUUCUUUCUUUUUUUUUUUCGUUUUGUAACACACACCCUAUAACACUAAUUUGAAUAUAUGCGAGAAAUCUGUGCUUGUUCACUGGCAAAGCGUAACGUCUUGUGGUAGGUGCAUUUGUUUUCGGUUAAAAACAAAAGAAAAAUUUGUUGUGUAAUUACGACCAGGUAAGCCAUUUUUUUUGGGGGGGAGGGCGUCCUAUUAUCAAAGCAAUACUUUUAUCUCUUUGACGCUUCGUACAUUUCUCACUCGUUGAACAAAUACAAUGCAGUGACUAGCCUUGA